AGGAUAAACGCUGGCGGCGUGCCUAACACAUGCAAGUCGAACGUCUCUUCUUUCGGGAAGAGGAGUGGCGGACGGGUGAGGAACACGUGGGAACCUGCCCUUUAGUGAGGAAUACCGGCGAGAAAUCGCCGACAAGACCGCAUAGCCCUCUUUGAUGAGAGUCAAAGAAGGAAAGCUUCGCAAGAGGCGCUAGAGGAGGGGCCUGCGUCCGAUUAGCUAGUUGGUGGGGUAAGAGCCUACCAAGGCGUCGAUCGGUAGCUGGUCUGAGAGGACGAUCAGCCACACUGGGAUUGAGAACGGCCCAGACUCCUACGGGGGGCAGCAGUGAGGAAUUUUCGGCAAUGGGGGAAACCCUGACCGAGCAACGCCGCGUGCAGGAAGACGGCCUUCGGUUGUAAACUGCUUUUCUUUGGGACGAGAACGGACGGUACCAGAGGAAUCAGCCCGGCUCACUACGUGCCAGCAGCCGC
rnacentral:rRNA from 1 species